GGAAUCACUGGGCUUAAAGCGUGUGUAGGCGGAUUUGUAAGUACCUUGUGAAAUCCAACGGCUUAACCGUGGAACGGCUGGGUAUACUGCGAAUCUUGAGCCACCUAGGGGCGAGCGGAACAAACGGUGGAGCGGUGAAAUGCGUAGAUAUCGUUUGGAACGCCAAUGGUGAAAACAGCUCGCUGGGGGUGUGCUGACGCUGAGACACGAAAGCCAGGGGAGCGAACGGGAUUAGAUACCCCGGUAGUCCUGGCCGUAAACGAUGUCGACUAGAUCGUAGUGGCUCUGACGCUAUUACGGUCGAAGCAAAAGUGCUAAGUCGACCGCCUGGGAAGUACGGUCGCAAGGCUAAAACUCAAAGGAAUUGACGGGGGCUCACACAAGCGGUGGAGCAUGUGGUUCAAUUCGAAGCAACGCGCAGAACCUUACCUGGGUUUGACUAGCUUGGAUUAUCCCCGUGAAAGCGGGGUAGGCCCUUCGGGGUACAACAAGUACAGGUGCUGCAUGGCUGUCGUCAGCUCGUGUCGUGAGAUGUCGGGUUAAGUCCCUUAACGAGCGAAACCUUUGCCCUUAGUUACCAGCGAGUAAAGUCGGGGACUCUAAGGGGACUGCCGGUGUCAAACCGGAGGAAGGUGGAGAUGACGUCAAGUCCUCAUGGCCUCUAUGCCCAGGGCUACACACGUGCUACAAUGGCGUCCACAAAGCGAACCGAGACCGCAAGGUGGAGGAAAUCGCACAAAUGACGCCCCAGUUCAGAUCGGAGGCUGCAACUCGCCUCCGUGAAGCUGGAAUCGCUAGUAAUCGCGGAUCAGUACGCCGCGGUGAAUGUGUUCCUGAGCCUUGCAC
rnacentral:rRNA from 1 species